rnacentral:rRNA from 1 species
CCUACGGGUGUCAGCAGUGGGGAAUAUUGCACAAUGGGGGAAACCCUGAUGCAGCGACGCCGCGUGAGUGAAGAAGUAAUUCGUUAUGUAAACUUCUUUUGUCAGGGAAGAGUAGAAGACGGUACCUGACGAAUAAGCCACGGCUAACUACGUGCCAGCAGCCGCGGUAAUACGUAGGUGGCAAGCGUUGUCCGGAUUUACUGGGUGUAAAGGGCGUGUAGCCGGGUUGACAAGUCAGAUGUGAAAUCCUGCGGCUUAACCGCAGAACUGCAUUUGAAACUGUUGAUCUUGAGUACUGGAGAGGCAGACGGAAUUCCUAGUGUAGCGGUGAAAUGCGUAGAUAUUAGGAGGAACACCAGUGGCGAAGGCGGUCUGCUGGACAGCAACUGACGGUGAGGCGCGAAAGCGUGGGGAGCAAACAGGAUUAGAUACCCUAGUAGUC